rnacentral:tRNA from 1 species
GGAACAGUGGUGUACAUGGUGUUGCACGUUAGUCUGAAGAACUAAAGGUAUUUGUUCGAUUCAAAUCUGUUCCA